rnacentral:SRP_RNA from 1 species
UUGUGCUAAGCGGGGAGCUAGCGGUGCCCUUUUCCCGAAAUCCGCUUUAUGCGGGGCAUAAAUCCCCUUUCAAGGGUUUUACACUGAAAUUUAUUAGCUGCUUAGGCCGGACACCAUGUAAUAAACAUUCAUGAACCUCGUCAGGUCCGGGAGGAAGCAGCGAUAAGUGAUACUGUUUGUGUCGUGGAUUGAUACCGGCCAACAAGCGGCUUCUAAUUUCAAAAAAAUUCGACAAAGGGGUGCACAA